rnacentral:tRNA from 1 species
GCUCGGGUGGUGAAACUGGCAAACACGUUAGCUUCAGGAGCUAAUGCCCGAAAGGGCUUGCGGGUUCAACUCCCGCCCCGAGCA